ensembl:snoRNA
GUACAGAUGAUGAUAGCAUAACAGCAUGAAUAAGGAUGAUACUGUAAACGCUUUCUGAUGUA